UCGGAGAUGUCAUGAUACUAGUGGUCGAUGUCUGGUACUGUCAUGAUACCUGGUUGUGGCGGAUGUCGUGAAACUGUCAUGAUAUCUAGUUGCUGCGAAUGUCAUUGUACUAGAUGUUAGAUUGUUCAUGUCAUGAUACCUAGUAAUCGUGGAAACGACCUGCUUUACCGACAUCACACCGGAAGAGACGCGAAGUGUGCCGUUGGCGCGCUUUGACAGAGUCCAACCGUUUACCUUAUGAAGACCGGGACGGUGGGUCCCUCACUUUGUGCUGGAGGCAAGCUACCGAGUAGACGUGUUGGGAACUGAUCGUGCGUUUCUUGGAAAGUGUGGUAUUUGUGAAGUGCUGUACAUGUGAAGUGUUAGUUUAGUUGAUCUGUGCCGUUAAGUUGAUUCCACUUUGAUGUUUUGUUAAUUGUGAUUUUGAUUAAAUCUUCAUUGUGAACUACCGCUGUGUUUUAUGUGUCCAUCUACUCGUAUACCACGUGCCAUGUCUGAUGAUGAUGAUAACGAACGCUCGGGCCCCCUCCUGUUUCGUUAUCAGAAGUGGGAUCCAAGCGAGUAAAUGGGAUACAUAACGGCGGUGAAGACAACGCCUCAAGAUGGCGGUUACUUUUCGUAAUUCGAAAUUGAGGUAUGGCAGCCAUGAACGAGACGCUUAAGUCGCCUGCCUCUCGUGUUGGCGUAACCCUGCCGAGGUUCAAUCCCGACGUGGUGGAGCUGAAGGCGCGCUCGUGGUGCACCCCGGCCGAGCCGUGUGCCGCGCGCCGAGCCGUGCGCCAAGCCAUGUGCCGCGCGCCGCGCCGAGCAGCCGCUGCAGGGCCUGCGGGGAGGAGAGCUCGUGCUCGCUCUUAGCCGAGCACUCAAGGCAUUCACUUGGAUUUGGCAAGUAUCGUUUCAUGAUAUUACUUGGCCCCAGUUUAAAGUGGUGUCAAUGGUAGAUUUGCUUGUGUGGAAAUAACGGCAGCUUCCGUGAUUAAUUCGCUUAUCAGUAAACCUGAGAAGAAUGAAUGCCUAUCUAGCUAUGCCAGUCAAUUAAUCAGUUCCCUAAUCAGAAAAUUUAAUAACAUCAGUGUGGAACAAAAUUAAAUAAUGUAGCAGUUUCCAUAGUGCUUGCCCACAUAGUGCAAUUUGACCCCAGGCUUCAACGCCUUGCUUUUACAAAUGGAAUCCAGUCACGUCAUUAGCUUAGACUCGAAGGCUUUUCUUAUUUAAAGUGGAAAUCAUACAGUGUACAAAAUAACAGUGAAUCCCCAGACCCGAAAAGUGUUAAACUAUUCAUUCAACAUCCUUUAAAGUGUUACAGUUGCAGUGACUUGGGUCAUAAGCCAUAGGCCACCCCGCAAGCGAUGAGCAGCGCGCCGGGACCGAGCAGCCAGCAGCCUGCGCACAAGCCUGUUGUGUGGUCCAAGCGUGGCACGUCGAGACACGUGGCUCGUCCAGGCCGCGCCGGCAGCCGACCCUGCACUGGAUGGAUACACACAUGCAGCUUGCAUCACACUGACCCCAGGACAGCACAAUAACCAUGAAGUUAUCACACGUGGAUACAAUGUGUGCAUGCCAGAAUGUCCGAGUCGACGACAGCACGUCAUGUGGACAGAGAACAACUUGUAAAGUGAUUUCUCUGUACGGAGUCAUCGGGCGAGACAUUGGAAUACAAGGUUGUAUUGUUUUGUUUAUUGGUCGAUGAUUACCCGAAUUAGUUUCUAAUAAGUUAACUACUUUUUACGAUGACUGUGGCUAACUACCACCUAUAUUCAUCAAGAUGGAGCAGAUCAUGGAUUAAUAGUAAACGAUAAAAUUAUCUUGAAAAGUUAUGAAAUUUGAAGUACUUGUGGUAAUUAAUUGGUUACAAUUACAAUGGAUUAACUAUGUGUGAUGAGUACGUUUGAGAUUUUACAAGGGAAGUUAUUUGACUAUGCUGUUUCUAAAGUCUGUUUUGUGUUUACCCUCACACAAAAUACAUUGCAAUGAUAAAAGAGGUGACAGGCUAAUAACUUAGUACAUAGUAAAUUUAAUGGAGUAUGAAAUUGCCACAUGAGUGAUAUCAGAUGGUUAUUUUAUUGGAAUUAGGGUAAAACAGACUGAGCGGUUCAAAUAAGAUUACGAUUUUAAAAUUAAUGAAACAGAUGGUAGAGUUUUUAAAGAUUAAUUGCAGAUAUGUUAGUACAAAUACAAUGAAGAGGUCAGUGGGUUAUGUACCAGAGUUAAUGUAAAUUAAUGAUCAAUGAAUUAAGUUGGUGAAGCAGAAACAUUGUUGAAUUUUGAGUAAUAUUGUAUGGGCCGUUCGGUAGGUCAAGUAAACCAUGGUUACUGCAGUAGUAGCUAUAGUACGUUGUCGCAGCCCGUAGUCGUAGUUGGUUACCCAGAUAAUGGUUCUAUGCGGUGCGGGUGCGGAGUGUGUGGCGUUGACGGACGUCGUGGUGAGCGUGUAGUCGGUGCAUGGUGGCCGGUGGUCUAGUAGAGAUGUGGUGUGAGUCUAGUGGUGGCUCCAUGACUGAUGCAUAAGACGGUUAAUGAGGAAGCGUAGAGAUAUGAGCGAUGUAAAUCGCAGCAGAUACUGUUGUAGACAGAUGAAUACUCAAAGCACUCAAGUCAGUCAAGACAGUCGCGAGAUAUUGUGGUUUUUGUUACUUGCUUCUUAUUGUUGAUGUUACUGAUUUAAUUGUUUUGUCGUAUUCAGUAAUCAGUAAAGUAAUGGAUGAAUUAUGAGAUAGAGUUUAGUUACCCUACAGAGGUAGAAAUUUAAGAGUGCCUUAUAAAAAUGAUGGUCAGGAUAUGGCCGAGUCGGACCAAAACUGUUGGUGUAUGUUUUGUUGCAGAUUCAACACACGAGGACGUGUGCUAGCAGGAUGGCCGUGUCGGAGAUGUCAUGAUACUAGUGGUCGAUGUCUGGUACUGUCAUGAUACCUGGUUGUGGCGGAUAUCGUGAAACUGUCAUGAUAUCUAGUUGCUGCGAAUGUCAUUGUACUAGAUGUUAGAUUGUUCAUGUCAUGAUACCUAGUAAUCGUGGAAACGACCUGCUUUACCGACAUCACACCGGAAGAGACGCGAAGUGUGCCGUUGGCGCGCUUUGACAGAGUCCAACCGUUUACCUUAUGAAGACCGGGACGGUGGGUCCCUCACUUUGUGCUGGAGGCAAGCUACCGAGUAGACGUGUUGGGAACUGAUCGUGCGUUUCUUGGAAAGUGUGGUAUUUGUGAAGUGCUGUACAUGUGAAGUGUUAGUUUAGUUGAUCUGUGCCGUUAAGUUGAUUCCACUUUGAUGUUUUGUUAAUUGUGAUUUUGAUUAAAUCUUCAUUGUGAACUA